GGAGACCCCGCCGCUGGAUUUGUGGCGGCUGGCGGGACGAGUGAGACAGCGGGGUGGACGAGAUGCAAUACUGCCUGAGGCAAUCCGUGUCUCUUGGGCUUUGGUUCCCAAAUCCACAUUUACAUAUAUAGCAAAAGCAGAUUGACUCUAAUGAACAUCAUGCAUUAGAUGGGAGUAUGGAAAUGUUCUUUUUCACUGAAGACUUCUGCAUCUGUUGCAAGAGCCUGCUAGGUAAUAAAGAGAGAAUAGGAUAAAUGACUGAACAUAUGAAAUGGAAAGUUCUCUAAACUGCAUUGUGAGGUUUGCUGCAAAUACAAAUGCUGCAUUGUGAGGUUUGCUGCUGUAAGUACUGUAUUGCAUUAAUUUUAUAUAUUUUAUCGUAUAUAACCCAAGUAUAAUAUGCAAAAAUUAUAAACACAUAUUGUCUCAAACAAUUGUGUAUUUCAUUUAAACCAACAAAGAAAUUAGUAAAAUUAGUAAAAAAAAAAAAAAGUCUUUGCCACUUUUUACAUUUUGUUCCGAUAGGGAAAAUAAUGUGUACUAAUAGCACCCUGUUGUUUCCUUAAAAUCAUUCCUGCAAAUAAUAACAUUACUUUGAAAAACAUUCCUCACAUUUCAUGUACAAUUUGAGAUUUGAGAUAGCUAAAAAGAGAACUACCAUGACUGGAAAGGAAAUUGAAUUCUAAUUGUGAAUGGUGUAGUAUUAAUAACAGUUGUUCAGAAAGUUACUAAUGGAAAAGUUCUCUUUCAUCUUACAUAAUAAUCUUCCUAAACAUCUUUCCUUGUAGCAGCAGAAAUGAGGAGAAUUAAAGUCUAUUUUCUUGUGUCACUACAAUGCUUGGUACUGAACAGUACAUCUGCCAUCUGGAAACUGGCAAAUAGAAGGAAAAAUGAAAAAAGUAAAUAAAUAAUCUAAAGAACAAAUUAAUUUUUAAUUGAUUUAAUUACUUUCUUCAAUUAUAGUCCACUUGGCUAUUAAAAGGAGCUACAAUUAAAUCUAAUUUACUAAAUCUAAUUUUGUAUCAAUGGAGUUAUGAUGAGAAAUAGAACUGGUAUUCCUCUUUGCUGUCAUAACUCCAAGAGGCAUGGGAAGAGGUGGAGGUCUCAGAUAAGGAGCUUGGGGGUGCCAGAGGGGAAACAAGGGGAUAGCUGGUGUAGACUGUGUGUGAGCUGGGGGAAGAUUAACAUGGGCUGGUGCAGGCCACGUGCAAGCAGGAUAAGUGCUGCAGAUGGGACAAAAGCAGGAUCAAUUUGUGAUCUUCUCUGCCAGCUUCCUCAUCGACUUGGCUUGUGAAGCCGGCAAGGAAGGUCACAAAUGGUAAACAUAUAUCUGCAACUCAUUGUGAGUAACUGCAAAUCAGAUAUCCAAGAACUGGGAUUUCUAUGACUGGGAGGGGUGUUACGAGGACACAAACCUGGAGGACAAGUUGUACAUCUAUUUUUUCAGAGUCACCAUAACUUUGAUCACUAAACAAAUGGACAUAAGCCUAGAAUUACCUGUACAUGUUAGGUAGGAAGCAGAUGUUUGAACCAGAAAAUGGCUGAUUGGUUUUCGGGCUAGCUUUUGUUCUGCAAAAGCCAAGUAGUCAGGCAGGGUUUGUAUCACAUUAAAGUAAGAUUGUUACACUGUUACUGAGUUCUCAGGAGCCAGAUAAAAUAUAGAAUGUAUCAUAUGAAUAUUUAAACCCUACUACUCCAGGGAAUCCAAUGUGCUCAACAUCAUUAUAGUUUUGGUUGAACAUUUCAUCCUAAUGAAAUAUAUAUCUGACAGUUUGCCAUGCGAGUAUUACCAGCCUUAGUCAUACCCUUGCUAGAUGUAGCAUUAUAUGCUAAUGAUAAGGAUAGCAUGAAUCAGUUUUGGCACAUGUUGGCCAGCAAGCCACAAGCGCAGCCAAUAAAAUCAAAGUACACUUAUGUUGUUCUGUGCAAGCUAGAAUCUGAUUCACAGACUAUCUGGCAGGCUUUAUCACACAUCCCAUUCUAAAGCUAUACAUGCAGUUUUCUCAUACACAGUCAAAUUUGUAUUAAAAAGGAAAAAAGACAAAGCAACUUUAACACUUACUUAUUAGAAGCAAUUUCUAGUGAUCAAGAAGUACAUUUCCUAUAAGUAGUAUUACAUGUAUGUAGGUAAUAAUUUCGUACAUUUUUAGUGUUGUGAAAAUGGAAGGCAAAAGUACUGAACUACUAAAAUGCAGAACUUUGGAUAAGAAAUACAAAAUUCUAGAUUUGAAGAAAUUCCUUACUUUUACAAGAACUUUUAAAAACAAAAUUCAUAAUGUUCAGCAGGUUCCCCUGAUUAUGCAUAAUGACAUUUCAGAAAACUAAGAAGGAAAAAAGGCCUUUUUCUUCUGCUAAUUUAAGAUUCACCCAUAACUAUUUCAAGCUUAUGUCCCACUAGGCCUACCCAAUAAUUUAAUUAAAGUGCAGAACAUUACUUCUAUUAAAGUAGCUCUGAUAAGCAGGAUAUGGAAAUAAAAGAGCCAUUUUUAAUACCCAAAGGACACCAUUUGUUUACAGUUAACAUAUGAGAAGAAAAAAUCAUGCCUCUGGAUGUUGGAUUUUAUAAAUUAUAUGUAUACUGGUUGAGUCAUAGAGCAAGGAGAAAGAGACAGGAACAAUUGCAAACAAAGGAAUUGUAUGGAGAAACAGUUCAUGCUGAAAUGAAAAUGAAAUUUUAGCCAAGAGAAAGAUAACAGAACCACUGAAGUUUUUAAAGAAUGCUUCAUUAUUUGUCAGCUUAAAAAAAUAGUAAAAAAUGACAAAUGAUCUGUGUUAGAAAAAGCAGCUAGACAAGUUCCAAAGGAUAAGCUGAAAGACUUCUCAGGCUGGGGAUGACCUACCAAAACUCUGACCUUUGAAAGAAAUCCAUAAUUCCCUGAGAAAAGAUCUCUUCUGCUGUAUUAAUGAUUGUACUAAAUUGAGGUAUUGUUCUCCUGCUUGUUUAACAUGCCUCUCAAAUUAUUCUGUAGGACUGAUCAAGCUGACAUGUUGGAAUGGGAGGCAAGGUAAACUCAUUUGAACAAAACUGCCUUAAUGUGCAGACAACACUUCUGUAUAUAAUCCUUUGAUUGGCCCUUA